rnacentral:lncRNA from 13 species
AUUAAAUAUUUUUCUAAAAGAAUUCUAUAAUAUAAUUAGAUUAUUAGUAAGGAAGAGUCACUUCCUGGAAGUGACUGCAAACAAUUUGAAUAGAGCACCUUUAGUGCCAAAAUUAGAUUACGAACACAAUAGACUGACGAAUGGUGAGCUUCAAUUGAAUAAUAAUACAUAUCUUAUUAUAAAUGAGCCGAGCUUAGACAUUAAUACACUUACCACGACCGGCGCUGAAAAUUACAAAUGUUUAUGUAAUUUGAUCUUACAUCAAGAAAUAGCAUACAACUGCACGUAUCAUCCCGUGAAGCUCAAAACUGACAUACCAGUUUUGAUCUUUUCUGAUAUAAAAUCACGUAUUUCUGCAAGUAUUUAUUUGUAGCGUAAGAUAUGUUACACUUUUUCUACAACUAUUAAUAAAUGAAAUUGUUUAUUUAUAGAA